UUUUUUUUUUUUUUUUUUCGCUCAGGAAUAACGCUGGCGGCGUGCCUAAUACAUGCAAGUCGAGCGAACAGAUAAGGAGCUUGCUCCUUUGACGUUUAGCGGGCGGACGGGUGAGUAACACGUGGAUAAUCUAUUUAUAAGACUGGGAUAACAUCGGGAAAUCGGAGCUAAUAUCGGAUAAGAUUUUGAACCGCAUGGUUCAAUAGUGAAAGAGGUCUUGCUGUCACUUAUAGAUGAUUCCGCGCCGUAUUAGCUAGUUGGUAAGGUAACGGCUUACCAAGGCAACGAUACGUAGCCGACCUGAGAGGGUGAUCGGCUCACACUGGAACUGAGACACUGUUGGACUCCUACGGGAGGCAGCGGUAGGGAAUCUUCCGCGAUGGGCGAAAGCAUAACGGAGCAACGCCGCACAGGAAUAAAGGGGAUAGGAAGCUAAAAGCGUAACAGAAAACAAAGGAAAAAACGGACAAGCGUGAAUCCGUUUCAAAACCAGAGGCCAACUGAUAAUAGUGUCUCAUCGAGUAAACGUCCGUCGAACCGAGAUCGUAAUACUCGCCCUAGGUGCUCGUAGGGGGUUUUGCACGUCGCGUGAGGAAUCCCACGCCCCCUCCCGGAGGGUCAUUGGAAACUGGAAAAAUUGAGUGGAGAAAAGGAAAAGUGGAAUUCCAUGUGUAGCGGUGAAAUGCGCAAGAGAUAUGGAGGAACACCAGUGGCGAAGGCGACUUUCUGGUCUGUAAACUGACGCUGAUGUGCGAAAGCGUGGGGAUCAAACAGGAUUAGAUACCCUGGUAGUCCACGCCGUAAACGAUGAGUGCUAAGUGUUAGGGGGUUUCCGCCCCUUAGUGCUGCAGCUAACGCAUUAAGCACUCCGCCUGGGGAGUACGACCGCAAGGGUUGAAACUCAAAGGAAUUGACGGGGACCCGCACAAGCGGUGGAGCAUGUGGGUUUAAUUUCGAAGCAACGCGAAGAACCUUACCAAAUCUUGACAUCCUUUGACCGCUCUAGAGAUAGAGUUUUCCCCUUCGGGGGACAAAGUGACAGGUGGUGCAUGGUUGUCGUCAGCUCGUGUCGUGAGAUGUUGGGUUAAGUCCCGCAACGAGCGCAACCCUUAAGCUUAGUUGCCAUCAUUAAGUUGGGCACUCUAAGUUGACUGCCCGGUGACAAACCGGGAGGAAGGUGGGGGAUGACGUCAAUCAUCAUGGCCUUUAUGAUUUGGGCUACACCACGUGCUACAAUGGACAAUACAAAGGCAGCUAACCGCGAGGUCAAGCAAUCCCAUAAAGUUGUUCUCAGUUCGGAUUGUAGUCUGCCACUCGACUACAUGAGCUGGGAUCGCUAGUAUCGUAGAAUCAGCAUGCUACGGUGAAUACGUUCCCGGUGCUGUGUAACACACCGCCGGUCCAACCACGGAGGAGUUGUCAACUACGAGCCGUGGAGUAACAUUUAUUGGUGAGCUAGUCGCUCGA
rnacentral:rRNA from 1 species